UGGACUAUGAUGACAAACCAACAUCAUGAAGAGAGAUGAUGACAUAAAAAUCAUGCUGUGGUUGGGGCUGCUGAGACUU
rfam:Mesocricetus auratus contig197614, whole genome shotgun sequence.